UGCUCAUCAGUGAAAUUAUCCUAUUCCUGCUUGAGUUUAACUUUUACAGCUGGUGGAGUUGGGACUCGACUGUAAAAGCUGACAGAGCGAACAGGAGGGCGAUGCUGGUGCCAUGUGAUAUGGAGUAUCCUGUGUUUGUCUCAGAGCGCACGAUCAAAGAGACGGCAGGCAGCAUCGACUGCAACGGCUGU